rnacentral:rRNA from 1 species
GAUGAACGCUGGCGGCGUGCCUAAUACAUGCAAGUCGAGCGAACGGACGAGAAGCUUGCUUCUCUGAUGUUAGCGGCGGACGGGUGAGUAACACGUGGAUAACCUACCUAUAAGACUGGGAUAACUUCGGGAAACCGGAGCUAAUACCGGAUGAUAUUUUGAACCGCAUGGUUCAAAAGUGAAAGACGGUCUUGCUGUCACUUAUAGAUGGAUCCGCGCUGCAUUAGCUAGUUGGUAAGGUAACGGCUUACCAAGGCAACGAUGCAUAGCCGACCUGAGAGGGUGAUCGACCACACUGGAACUGAGACACGGUCCAGACUCCUACGGGAGGCAGCAGUAGGGAAUCUUCCGCAAUGGGCGAAAGCCUGACGGAGCAACGCCGCGUGAGUGAUGAAGGUCUUCGGAUCGUAAAACUCUGUUAUUAGGGAAGAACAUAUGUGUAAGUAACUGUGCACAUCUUGACGGUACCUAAUCAGAAAGCCACGGCUAACUACGUG